GAACUUGCCUCUUGGUCUGGGACAACUGUUGGAAACGACAGCUAAUACCGGAUAUUAUGAGAUUCUCGCAUGGGAAACUUAUGAAAGCUAUAUGCGCCAAGAGAGAGCCUUGCGUUCCAUUAGCUAGUUGGUGGGGUAACGGCCCACCAAGGCGACGAUGGAUAGCCGGCCUGAGAGGGUGAACGGCCACAAGGGGACUGAGACACGGCCCUUACUCCUACGGGAGGCAGCAGUGGGGAAUAUUGGACAAUGGGCCACAAGCCUGAUCCAGCAAUUCUGUGUGCACGAUGAAGGUCUUCGGAUUGUAAAGUGCUUUCAGUUGGGAAGAAGAAAGUGACGGUACCAACAGAAGAAGCGACGGCUAAAUACGUGCCAGCAGCCGCGGUAAUACGUAUGUCGCAAGCGUUAUCCGGAUUUAUUGGGCGUAAAGCGCGUCUAGGCGGAAAAAUAAGUCUGAUGUUAAAAUGCGGGGCUCAACUCCGUAUUGCGUUGGAAACUGUUUUUCUAGAGUACUGGAGAGGUGGGCGGAACUACAAGUGUAGAGGUGAAAUUCGUA
rnacentral:rRNA from 1 species